rnacentral:rRNA from 1 species
UACAGAGGUCCCAAGCGUUGUUCGGAUUCACUGGGCGUAAAGGGUGCGUAGGUGGUGAGGUAAGUCGGAUGUGAAAGCUCGGAGCUCAACUCCGAAAUGGCAUUGGAAACUACCUUGCUCGAGGGUUGGAGGGGGGACUGGAAUACUUGGUGUAGCAGUGAAAUGCGUAGAUAUCAAGUGGAACACCAGUGGCGAAGGCGAGUCCCUGGACAACUCCUGACACUGAGGCACGAAAGCUAGGGGAGCAGACAGG